AUUUAAAAUCUGGCGGUCUUUGGCCGUCCGAGUUGUAAUCUAGAGAAGUGUUAUCCGCGCUGGACCGUGUACAAGUCUCCUGGAAUGGAGCGUCAUAGAGGGUGAGAAUCCCGUCUUUGACACGGACUGCCAGGGCUUUGUGAUGCGCUCUCAAAGAGUCGAGUUGUUUGGGAAUGCAGCUCAAAUGGGUGGUAAAUUCCAUCUAAAGCUAAAUAUUGGCGAGAGACCGAUAGCGAACAAGUACCGUGAGGGAAAGAUGAAAAGAACUUUGGAAAGAGAGUUAAACAGUACGUGAAAUUGCUGAAAGGGAAACGCUUGAAGUCAGUCGCGUUGCCCGGGGAUCAACCUUUGGCUGGGUGUACUUUCCGGUUGACGGGUCAGCAUCAAUUUUGACCGCUGGAUAAAGUCUGUGGAAAUGUGGCUUCUUCGGAAGUGUUAUAGUCCAUGGUCGCAUACAGCGGUUGGGAUUGAGGAACUCAGCACGCCGCAAUUCCGGGUACUUGUACCACGUUCGUGCUUAGGAUGCUGGCAUAAUGGCUUUAAUCGACCCGUCUUGAAACACGGACCAAGGAGUCUAACAUGCCUGCGAGUGUUUGGGUGGAAAACUCGAGCGCGUAAUGAAAGUGAAAGUUGAGAUCCCUGUCGUGGGGAGCAUCGACGCCCGGACCAGACCUUUUGUGACGGAUCCGCGGUAGAGCAUGUAUGUUGGGACCCGAAAGAUGGUGAACUAUGCCUGAAUAGGGUGAAGCCAGAGGAAACUCUGGUGGAGGCUCGUAGCGAUUCUGACGUGCAAAUCGAUCGUCAAAUUUGGGUAUAGGGGUGAAAGACUAAUCGAACCAUCUAGUAGCUGGUUCCUCAAACUUUCCCUCAGGA
rnacentral:rRNA from 1 species